rnacentral:rRNA from 1 species
AGAGUUUGAUCCUGGCUCAGGAUGAACGCUGGCGGCGUGCUUAACACAUGCAAGUCGAGCGGAAAUAUUUAAAAGCUUGCUUUUAGAUAUUUUAGCGGCGGACGGGUGAGUAACGUGUGGGUAACCUGCCAUAUACUGGGGAAUAAUCAUUGGGAACGAUGACUAAUACCGCAUGUGGUCACGAGAUGGCAUCAUCUUGUGAAGAAAGGGCUUCGGCUCGGUAUAUGAUGGACCCGCAUCUGAUUAGCUAGUUGGUGAGAUAACAGCUCACCAAGGCGACGAUCAGUAGCCGACCUGAGAGGGUGAUCGGCCACAUUGGGACUGAGACACGGCCCAAACUCCUACGGGAGGCAGCAGUGGGGAAUAUUGCACAAUGGGCGAAAGCCCGAUGCAGCAACGCCGCGUGAAGGAAGAAGGGUUUCGGCUCGUAAACUUCUAUCAAUGGGGAAGAAACAAAUGACGGUACCCAAAUAAGAAGCCCCGGCUAACUACGUGCCAGCAGCCGCGGUAA